rnacentral:rRNA from 1 species
CCUACGGGAGGCAGCAGUGAGGAAUAUUGGUCAAUGGACGCAAGUCUGAACCAGCCAUGCCGCGUGCAGGAAGACGGCCCUAUGAGUUGUAAACUGCUUUUGUACGAGGGUAAACUCAGAUACGCGUAUCUGUCUGAAAGUAUCGUACGAAUAAGGAUCGGCUAACUCCGUGCCAGCAGCCGCGGUAAUACGGAGGAUUCAAGCGUUAUCCGGAUUUAUUGGGUUUAAAGGGUGCGUAGGCGGUCGGAUAAGUUAGCGGUGAAAUCCCGAGGCUCAACUUCGGAACUGCCUCUGAUACUGUUCGGCUAGAGAGUGGUUGCGGUAGGCGGAAUGUGUGGUGUAGCGGUGAAAUGCUUAGAGAUCAUACAGAACACCGAUUGCGAAGGCAGCUUACCAAGCUACGUCUGACGUUGAGGCACGAAAGCGUGGGGAGCGAACAGGAUUAGAUACCCCGGUAGUC